ensembl:lncRNA
AAACAAUAUGCAUAACGCGGCCACGGGUAAAAAACGAAAAGAAAAGGGCGGGUCUGAGAAGGCGAGAGAAAAAAAAUGCGGAAUUUAGAUACUGAAGCCGCUAAAUGUCGCAAAUUAACUGAAAUAUUUAGCCAGCCAGCAGCAGCACCUCGCAGUUAAAUAUUAGGAGCAGACCCAGCAGUGAAGAAGUGAGCCAGACAGCUAUGCAGCAACAUGCCACCAGUGAUGAUGAGGGACAGAAAGAUGAGCUGGUUCCACAGGCAGAUACAGGGCAAGUGCUGUGAGGAAAAACACAGUGACACGGUCAGCCACGGACUCAGAGGUCACCAAGCACGCAAUCAGGUGGUUCAACCUGGCAGCGUAUCGGGCAAUGAGGAGACGUGUCCUGCCUCAAGCCACACAAACGGAGUAAUAGGAGAAAUAAGCAAGAAACAAUAUUUUUUUGAACUUCUUGUCGUUCUCCAGUUAUUAAUUUUCUGAUAUUUUAGCUGUGCAUUUCAUUGAAGUUUUAGCCUAAUGGAUAAAAUUUUUAUGUCUGCACCGACCUAGGCCUAUAAAGCACUAAAUUAGGUUUUGACCACAAAAUGAAUGUAAAGUAGCUUAGCCAACGUAGG